rnacentral:rRNA from 1 species
UAGUUUAGUGGCGGACGGGUGAGUAACACGUGAGCAACCUACCUUCGAGAGGGGAAUAACGGCUGGAAACGGUCGCUAAUACCGCAUAACAUACUGGAGGGACAUCCCUUUGGUAUCAAAGAUUUAUCGCUCGGAGAUGGGCUCGCGUCCGAUUAGGUAGUUGGUGAGGUAACGGCUCACCAAGCCGACGAUCGGUAGCCGGACUGAGAGGUCGAACGGCCACAUUGGGACUGAGACACGGCCCAAACUCCUACGGAAGGCAGCAG